CGGCGGACGGGUGAGGAACACAUCGGAAUCUACCCUGUCGUGGGGGACAACGUAGGGAAACUUACGCUAAUACCGCAUACGACCUUUGGGUGAAAGCGGGGGACCCGCAAGAGCCUCGCGCGAUUGGAUGAGCCGAUGUCCGAUUAGCUAGUUGGCGGGGUAAUGGCCCACCAAGGCGACGAUCGGUAGCUGGUCUGAGAGGACGACCAGCCACACUGGAACUGAGACACGGUCCAG
rnacentral:rRNA from 1 species